UGCCUCGGUUGCAAGGGGAAAUGACAUGACAUGAACAUAUUUUAUCCAUAACUAGUUCCACUUGUACUCUUAGCUUGUUUAUGCAGGAACAACAAAUUCAAGACAUUAUUUGACAAAGCCAACAUCAGAAUCAUCAAGAGGAGAUCGAGGGGACAACAGGUGACACCCUGGGCCCACAGGGAGGGGGUCGCCCGACCCCUCUUUGGUGGGACCUAGGUGUGCCACCUACUCCACCGACAUAAGGGACCAUUGUGGACAC
rnacentral:lncRNA from 1 species